rnacentral:rRNA from 1 species
AAGCGUGCGCAGGCGGUUAUAUAAGACAGAUGUGAAAUCCCCGGGCUCAACCUGGGAACUGCAUUUGUGACUGUAUAGCUGGAGUGCGGCAGAGGGGGAUGGAAUUCCGCGUGUAGCAGUGAAAUGCGUAGAUAUGCGGAGGAACACCGAUGGCGAAGGCAAUCCCCCUGGGCCUGCACUGACGCUCAUGCACGAAAGCGUGGGGAGCAAACAGGAUUAGAUACCCCAGU